rnacentral:rRNA from 1 species
AUGUGAUCGUCUCUCGCAUAUCAAUAAGCGGAGGAAAAGAAACUAACAAGGAUUCCCCUAGUAACGGCGAGUGAAGCGGGAAGAGCUCAAAUUUGAAAUCUUAAAGGGUUUCCCUUUACGAAUUGUAGUUUAAAGAAGUGUUUUCUGUUGAGGUUUUGGUAAAAGUUCUUUGGAAUAGGACAUCAUAGAGGGUGAGAAUCCCGUAUUUGACCUUUACUUUCAACUUUGUGAUACACUUUCAAAGAGUCGGAUUGUUUGGGAAUGCAGUCCAAAAUGGGUGGUAAAUUUCAUCUAAAGCUAAAUAUUGGCGAGAGACCGAUAGCGAACAAGUACCGUGAGGGAAAGAUGAAAAGAACUUUGAAAAGAGAGUUAAACAGUACGUGAAAUUGUCAAAAGGGAAGCGUUUGACACCAGUGUUGUUUUUCUGAAAAUCAAUUAAAGAACUGUUUAUGCUAAGUUGUUUAGACUUUAUCAGCUAACUGUUUAGUUUUGAGCUUUUCUUUAAUGCACUUUUCAGUUAACAAGUCAACAUCAAUUUCUUUUGCUGUAAAAAAGCUUGAGGAAGGUGGCUUGAGAUUCGUCUUAAGUGUUUAUAGCCUCUUGCCUAUGCAGUCGGAGAGAUUGAGGUCUGCAGCGUAGAUCCUUCGGGGCUAAAUGCAUUUGUGCUAAGUUAUAGCAUUUUAUAGACAACUUGUUGACUAUGAUUUGUCUUGUAGCUUACUCGCUUAUGUUAUUUUACCUACGCUUAGGAUGUUGAAGAUAUGCGCGACACG